rnacentral:lncRNA from 1 species
CUCCUCUCUGUUCCUCUGUCAAGGCCGUCUCUCUCAGGACAUCCUCUCUGUUCCUCUGUCAAGGCCGUCUCUCAGGACAUCCUCUCUGUUCCUCUGUCAAGGCCGUCUCUCCUCUCUGUUCCUCUGUCAAGGCCGUCUCUCUCAGGACAUCCUCUCUGUUCCUCUGUCAAGGCCGUCUCUCAGGACAUCCUCUCUGUUCCUCUGUCAAGGCCGUCUCUCUCAGGACAUCCUCUCUGUUCCUCUGUCAAGGCUGUCUCUCAGGACAUCCUCUCUGUUCCUCUGUCAAGGCCGUCUCUCUCAGGACAUCCUCUCUGUUCCUCUGUCAAGGCCGUCUCUCUCCUAAGUGCACUUUCCCUCCUAACCCGACUUGCGCUUUGGAAUUGAUUGAAACAAAAUGUCACAAAUAUGGCCUGUAGCUCCGAGCCGUCCUUCUGCGCACGGCCUUAAUUAUUCAUCAAUUAGUUGUCUUUAUUUAUUUAUUUUUGCAGAGAUGUAUGGUUCCCCUGCUCUACAUCAGUCCAAAGUCAUUCAUUUCUGGGUUUGCAAUUAAACCUUAUGCAUCAUUUAUGAGCCAGACCCAACUCUGUCUGUCUGUCUGUCUGUCUGUAGACACCGCAACAAGCUGAGGUCCCUGUACUCUGGAGGGAACGAGGAUAAAUUAAUUCAGAGGAAUUAAGUUCUCUCUCUCUCAGGUUGGAAUGAACAGAUGCCAUCGGCCUGAGAGAGAGAAUGGAGAUAGAUAGAUCACCGUACGCCGAGAAUGACAACAAUAGGAGAGGAUAGAAACACUCAGUGAACAAAUGAAAAAUGUACAAAUCUAGAAAACAUGUAUAAAGUAUUCAAAUAUAU